rnacentral:rRNA from 1 species
GACGAACGCUGGCGGCGUGCCUAAUACAUGCAAGUAGAACGCAGUUUCGAACGGGUGAGUAACGCGUAGGUAACUGCCCCAUUGCGGGGGAUAACUAUUUGAAAAGAUAGCUAAUACCGCAAUCUGUGUGAUGGACCUGCGUUGCAUUAGCUAGUUGGUGGGGUAAAGGCUCACCAAGGCGACGAUACAUAGCCGACCUGAGAGGGUGAUCGGCCACAAUGGGACUGGGACCAGGCCCAGACUCCUACGGGAGGCAACAGUAGGGAAUCUUCGGCAAUGGGCGGAAGUCUGAACGAGCAACGCCGCGGGAGUGAAGAAGGUGUUCGGGUCGUAAAGCUCUGUUGUGAGAGAAGCGGUAACUAAAGAGAAAGGGACGGCUAACUACGUGCCAGCAGCCGCGGUAAUUC